rnacentral:rRNA from 1 species
GACGUAGGGCGCGAGCGUUGUCCGGAUUUAUUGGGGCGUAAAGAGCUCGUAGGCGGCUUGUUACGUCGACUGUGAAAACCCGCGGCCUCAACCGUGUGGUCUGCAGUCGAUACGGGGCAGGCUAGAAUUCGGUAGGGGGAGACUGGGAAUUCCUGGUGUAGCGGUGAAAUGCGCAGACUAGCAGGAGGAACACCGAUGGCGAAAGGCAGCUCGCUGGGACGGUACUGACGCUGAGGCGCGAAAGCGUGGGGAGCAAACAGG